UACGAAGGGGGCUAGCGUUGUUCGGAAUUACCGGGCGUAAAGGGCGCGUAGGCGGUUGCUCAAGUCAGGCGUGAAAGCCCCGGGCUCAACCUGGGAACCGCGCUUGAGACUGGGCGGCUUGAGUUCGGGAGAGGUGAGUGGAAUUCCCAGUGUAGAGGUGAAAUCGUAGAUAUUGGGAAGAACACCGGUGGCGAAGGCGGCUCACUGGCUCGUUUCUGACGCUCAGGCGCGACAGCGUGGGGAUCAAACAAGG
rnacentral:rRNA from 1 species